AGAAGCAGAUGUAGAUGUGCUUAUAAAAGAAGAAAGUAAUAAAUCUGCUACACAUAAAGAAAAAUAUAGUGAACUUAAAGAAGCAAGUACAAUAAAAUAUAUAAUAUUAGCAGCAGGUAAAAUCUCAAAAAACCACAUUGAUAAAGACAGUGAUGAAUCCAAAGACAUCACUGAUGAAUCUAAAAGCACGUCGGAUAUUGAAGUCGUUAUAAAUGACCCGGAUAUCAAUGUCGUGUUAUAUAGGCAAGACAACGUAAAUACUGCUCCAACACUGAAAGAUGAACUUCCAAAUAUGAAUAAUGGAAACGGAAAUUCUAAUAUUGAUUCCUCAUCACAAAGAUCAGCUCAAGAUAAUGGAAUUUCCGUGACAGAACAAUAUACGAAUUCUAUUUCUAAUGCAGAUAAUUAUGCAAAUGGGCAUCGAAUAGUAACAAACACGGAAAGGGAUCGAUACUAUGACAUUCCUAUUAAAUACGAGACCUUCACUUUAUUUGACGCAAGGAACAAAAUAAUGAAUGGAUAUGAUCCAAAAAUUUGUAAAUCUCUAAGGAACACCGAUUUGAUAAUCAGAAAUAAUCCAAGAAAAAUCAAAUUGCAUUUAAAUUAUCGCAGGCCGAAGAAUAAAUUAUAUUUUCAUAAAGAUUAGAACCAUAAUAACUUCAAGCCGUAUUAUCUACGGUGUUAGUUAUUUCGAUAAAGUAAUUUUAUUUAUCAUAAUAUAUAUUCAGUUUAAAACAUUCUGUAGAAACUUUGUGAUUCUGUUCAAAGUCAAUUAGAGACUACAUCCGUUAAUAAAAUUCAAUCAUGCAGCCUGGAUUAUAUGCUCACACCUGCAAGGCCUUAAUGUUCAUACCUUGUCCUGCUGCUCCUGGGUUUUCUCGACCUGAGUCUGCUUGCGAGCUUGAUGACCUCGGAAUGAAGCCUGAAUCUUCGUAGCGGCAUUGCAUAAUUCUAAAACAAAGAUUUCGCGUUAAUAAAUAUAUUAUUUUGGUU